GACGAACGCUGGCGGCGUGCUUAACACAUGCAAGUCGAACGGAAAGGCCCUGCUUUUGUGGGGUGCUCGAGUGGCGAACGGGUGAGUAACACGUGAGUAACCUGCCCUUGACUUUGGGAUAACUUCAGGAAACUGGGGCUAAUACCGGAUAGGAGCUCCUGCUGCAUGGUGGGGGUUGGAAAGUUUCGGCGGUUGGGGAUGGACUCGCGGCUUAUCAGCUUGUUGGUGGGGUAGUGGCUUACCAAGGCUUUGACGGGUAGCCGGCCUGAGAGGGUGACCGGCCACAUUGGGACUGAGAUACGGCCCAGACUCCUACGGGAGGCAGCAGUGGGGAAUAAUGCACAAUGGGCGGAAGCCUGAUGCAGCAACGCCGCGUGCGGGAUGACGGCCUUCGUGUUGUAAACCGCUUUCGCCUGUGACGAAGCGAGAGUGACGGUAAUGGGUAAAGAAGCACAGGCUAACUACGUG
rnacentral:rRNA from 1 species